rnacentral:rRNA from 1 species
GGCGUCGUCAGCUCGUGUCGUGAGAUGUUGGGUUAAGUCCCGUAACGAGCGCAACCCUUAUUCUUAGUUGCCAGCGAGUAAUGUCGGGAACUCUAAGGAGACUGCCGGUGACAAACCGGAGGAAGGCGGGGACGACGUCAAGUCAUCAUGGCCCUUACGGGUAGGGCUACACACGUGCUACAAUGGCUAGUACAGAGGGGAGCGAAGGGGCGACCUGGAGCGAAUCCUAUAAAGCUAGUCGUAGUCCGGAUUGGAGUCUGCAACUGACUCCAUGAAGUCGGAAUCGCUAGUAAUCGCGAAUCAGCAUGUCGCGGUGAAUACGUUCCCGGGCCUUGUACACACCGCCCGUGGGGCGGGGGCGGCGGGCCGGGCGCGGGCGCGGCGGCGAUCUAGAUGCAUCGCGAGUACCGACUA